rnacentral:rRNA from 1 species
UACGUAGGGUGCAAGCGUUGUCCGGAAUUAUUGGGCGUAAAGAGCUCGUAGGCGGUUUGUUGCGUCGGCUGUGAAAUCCCGAGGCUCAACCUCGGGUCUGCAGUCGAUACGAGCAAACUAGAGUGUUGCAGGGGAGACUGGAAUUCCCGGUGUAGCGGUGAAAUGUGUAGAGAUCGGGAGGAACACCGGUGGCGAAGGCGGUCUUCUGGACGGUGACUGACGCUGAGGCGCGAAAGCGUGGGGAGCAAACGGG